AUGGAGAUGGAGAUGGAGAUGAAAUGUGCUACUCCUAGCUCCAAAAGGGCGAGAGUGGCGCUAUCAGCGACACCGCCUUCUGGUGGUGUGCUGGUUGCCGUAGGGGAGGGAAGCGGCAAGUGUGCUCUUCCUCGAUCCAAGGAUGAAGAAGAGGGGUCUCGUCUGGACCUCAUCAGCGACCUCCCGAACGCCGUCCUAGGUGAGAUCAUCUCUCGUCUCCCCAUCAAGGAGGGCAUUCGUACUCGAAUCCUCGCACAUAGGUGGCGUCCUUUAUGGCCCACCGCUCCUUUGAAUCUUGACUGUCGUGAGAUUUCUGUUGCCCGUCUUUUUAACGAUGGAGAAACAGUUCGUAUUUUCACCAUCUUCAAUCUGUCCACCAUCACCAAGGCCGUCUUCAGAUGUUUUAUCGGAACUCGGCGCUCUCGAAAUUCUGUCGUUAAUGUUGGUGAGGAUUUGGAGUGUUUUGGGGUAGUCAGUCUAACAACAAUGCGGCAAUCUGUCAAGACCUUGUUCAUCUGCAUCGAUUAUAAGGUGGACAUUGUCAUUGAAUUGCUACAAUGCUUUCCAAAACUGGAGAACUUGUCUGUCGAGGGACGGUCGAUGUGUCGUUCUGAAAAAAAUGUAUGGCGUCGUAGGCACCGGCAGUUUCUGAAACAUCAUGACGUUUGUCUGAAGACAGUAACACUGGCAGAUUAUGUUCCUUGCCGGGGUGAUGAGGAAUUUGCGGUGUUCUUUGUUCUACGUGCAAAGGGUCUGGAGAGCAUUGACAUUAAGUUUGUGUACCCUCCCGCGGAGUUCACAGAAGUAUUUUACGAGGAGCAACAAAGGGUUCUGAAGUGGCACAAUAAGGCCUGCUUUGUUUGUCUUUGUGCUGUGAGCAGCGACAAAGGAGCUUGCAACUGA
rnacentral:rRNA from 1 species